rnacentral:rRNA from 1 species
AACGAACGCUGGCGGCAGGCCUAAUACAUGCAAGUCGAACGCCCGUAGCAAUACGGGAGUGGCAGACGGGUGAGUAACGCGUGGGAACAUACCCUUUGGUACGGAACAACUCCGGGAAACUGGAGCUAAUACCGUAUGUGCCCUAUGGGGGAAAGAUUUAUCGCCAAAGGAUUGGCCCGCGUCUGAUUAGCUAGUUGGUGGGGUAACGGCCCACCAAGGCGACGAUCAGUAGCUGGUCUGAGAGGAUGAUCAGCCACACUGGGACUGAGACACGGCCCAGACUCCUACGGGAGGCAGCAGUAGGGAAUAUUGGACAAUGGGCGCAAGCCUGAUCCAGCCAUGCCGCGUGAGUGAUGAAGGCCUUAGGGUUGUAAAGCUCUUUCGGCGGGGACGAUAAUGACGGUACCGCAGAAGAAGCCCCGGCUAACUUCGUGCCAGCAGCCGCGGUAAGGUCGUCAUGU